UAACCCUCAAGUGAGAUAGUAAAUUAAUUUCCGUCCACUGUUGUUUUAUCUGAAUUAUAUGUUGUUCAAAUGCCUUUAAUUUUAGAUAUUUUAGAUUAUCAAACAGAGGGAAUAAUUAUUUUAUUUGAGUAUUUGAUUAUCGCAGGCUGAAGCAAUUCUAUUAGCUCUAGGAGGGUAUGGGGAGAUAUGAGGUAUAUCCAGGACACAAAUAUUGGGAAUCAUUCUUAAAUAGAUAUCGCCAAAACAGGAAAGAGUGGAACUUUGAUGAGUUAAUUAGGUUUAAUGUUUUGGAAGUAAGUGGCAGGGAAGUAUGGUUGAGUGAUAUAUUGUAGUUACACUGUAUAGGCACUUGAAUUUUUGUAAGCUGCCUAAAAUGAUUUUGGUUACACUUUGAGGGUUGCUUGAAACAAGGUUCUUGAGUCUAAUGUGACUAAUAGUACUAAGCUUACUCACUCUUGUAUUUUUUUUUCCGUAAUAGUUCUUGCUACUUUGAGUGAUGUAUAUAACUAACAAGUGAUCUCUUUAUUGAUCACAUUUCACCUCCAAAUUCUUAUUUCAGAACUCAAUAGUUGGUUUUUUUCCCGUAAUAGUUCUUGCUACUUUGAGUGAAGGCUGGCAUAAACAAGCAAUUAUCCGACUAUACAGAUAUUAGAGGGAGCGCUGGGUUCUCACUGAAGAAGGAAGAAUCUAUGCUACUGCAGGCUCUCCUGAAGUGCAAGUAUACCCGGCUAUACCACAAGAGGGUAUCUCGCCAGAUGAACUUGAGGUUCUUUCUUCAAUUGCAUAUUAUCAGAAAAUAUUCAAAUAGCAGCUGUUUGACAGAAUCCUGAUCAUAUAGCAGGCUCAGGGUGUGCUGUGAAGAUUUGGUGGAGAUCCACAACUUAAGUCAAUGAUACACUGGGUUUCAGCAUCUCAGGUGAGCUUUACACAAUACCUGUUGAACUGACUUGAGCUGUACCACAAUACCUGUUGAACUGGGU